AACGAACGCUGGCGGCAGGCCUAACACAUGCAAGUCGAGCGAACCCUUCGGGGUUAGCGGCGGACGGGUUAGUAACGCGUGGGAAUAUACCCUUUGGUACGGAAUAGCCUCGGGAAACUGAGAGUAAUACCGUAUGUGCCCUUCGGGGAAAGAUUUAUCGCCAAAGGAUUAGCCCGCGUUGGAUUAGAUAGUUGGUGGGGUAAUGGCCUACCAAGUCUACGAUCCAUAGCUGGUUUGAGAGGAUGAUCAGCAACACUGGGACUGAGACACGGCCCAGACUCCUACGGGAGGCAGCAGUGGGGGAAUCUUAGACAAUGGGCGCAAGCCUGAUCUAGCCAUGCCGCGUGGACGAUGAAGGCCUUAGGGUUGUAAAGUCCUUUCAGAUGGGAAGAUAAUGACGGUACCAUCAGAAGAAGCCCCGGCUAACUCCGUGG
rnacentral:rRNA from 1 species